rnacentral:rRNA from 1 species
CCAGACUCCUACGGGAGGCAGCAGUGGGGAAUAUUGCACAAUGGGCGGAAGCCUGAUGCAGCAACGCCGCGUGCGGGAUGACGGCCUUCGGGUUGUAAACCGCUUUCGCCUGUGACGAAGCGUGAGUGACGGUAAUGGGUAAAGAAGCACCGGCUAACUACGUGCCAGCAGCCGCGGUGAUACGUAGGGUGCGAGCGUUGUCCGGAUUUAUUGGGCGUAAAGGGCUCGUAGGUGGUUGAUCGCGUCGGAAGUGUAAUCUUGGGGCUUAACCCUGAGCGUGCUUUCGAUACGGGUUGACUUGAGGAAGGUAGGGGAGAAUGGAAUUCCUGGUGGAGCGGUGGAAUGCGCAGAUAUCAGGAGGAACACCAGUGGCGAAGGCGGUUCUCUGGGCCUUUCCUGACGCUGAGGAGCGAAAGCGUGGGGAGCGAACAGGCUUAGAUACCCUGGUAGUCCACGCUGUAAACGGUGGGUACUAGGUGUGGGGUCCAUUCCACGGGUUCCGUGCCGUAGCUAACGCUUUAAGUACCCCGCCUGGGGAGUACGGCCGCAAGGCUAAAACUCAAAGGAAUUGACGGAGGCCCGCACAAG